rnacentral:lncRNA from 1 species
UCCGUGCUAAAACGUUAACAUAAGCAUGCCGUCUUACUAAAAAUGCUGUAUACUCCUGUUUCACUUUUAGUGAUUUGAGCUUAAUAAAGCUGAUGUUGCAAAAACCAUAAACAGAUGCUUUUUGCGAGUCCAACAGGAUUUAAAUUCUGUGCAGAGUUUUUCGAACGAAAGGCUAUUCAGUAUAACUUGUGGACAAUACAUUGCAUACCUAUUGACACAAGAUCCUGAGCAAUACUAAACAGGGACUGGAGCUCUCAGCUGUUGAAAAUGAUUCAUUUGAAACUGAUGUUAGCUGCCACAUUGACUUAUAGCUUCCCUGGAGUGUUUUGCCAGCAAACAAGAGGAAACAGCGGAAACAAUCUUCCGGUUGGUCUGGUGGUUGCUUACAACAGAUACAAGCAAGAAAUUUCAUCAAGGAGAGACUAGCUGGGCGUAAUUUAGCAACAGUCCAAAUGCUUGACAUACUAAGGUUCAUAUGACAACGUUUGAAAAUGUCAAAGUCUUCGGACGAGUCCAUUCUAGCACGCCAAGACGACUGUUCGUAUGCGUAUACAGCUCGAUAACACAAUUUUUGCCAAGUGAUCUUUGGUGGAAUAGUACCAUCUGCUUUGAACUGAUUCAGAUACGCUGUGAGAUUGUUUUUGCAU